GCGCAUGCGCGGCAGCUCCCGCCGCUGAAUAGCUGAGAGGCGCACUGGGGCUGCCAGCUGGGCUGGGAGUGCAGCGGGGUCAGGAUGGACAAGGACGUGUUGCACCCUGAAGAGCCUCAUCAUCGGCGAGAGUGGGGUGGGCAAGUACAGCCUGCUCUUGAGGUUCACAGAUGAUACCUUUGAUCCAGAACUUGCAGCAACAAUAGGCAGUCCACUUUACAUCGCUUUCCAGACAACUGGAAUUUGAGGCAACGUCUAUGAGAGCGAUCCCUUUGUUUUCACCUGGCGUAUGUUCUCAUCAGACUGCUUGCAGUCACAUCGUGCUUCAGAAAUGCAGGAAUCACAUGAACCUGUCCAUCCACAGAUGAAGUGGUACAGAAACUGCCAUGUUAGAUACAUGACAGUAUACUCUUCAGCCAUAAAGCUUCGGGAAACCCUGUCAUCAGCAACCACGUGGAGGAACCUGUCCAUCCACAGAUGAAGGGAUCAGGAAACUCUGGUAUAUAUACUGAAGGGAAAUGCUUUUUGGCUACCAAAAUAAUGAAAUUAUGUCAUUUGGAGCAACACAGAAGAACCUGUCCAUCCACAAAUGAAGACAUCAAGAAACUCUAGUAUGUA